rnacentral:rRNA from 1 species
UACGUAGGGUGCGAGCGUUAAUCGGAAUUACUGGGCGUAAAGCGUGCGUAGGUGGUUCGUUAAGUCUGAUGUGAAAGCCCUGGGCUCAACCUGGGAAUGGCAUUGGAUACUGGCGACCUAGAGUGCGGUAGAGGGGUGUGGAAUUCCCGGUGUAGCAGUGAAAUGCGUAGAUAGUCGGGAGGAACAUCUGUGGCGAAGGCGACACCCUGGACCAGCACUGACACUGAGGCACGAAAGCGUGGGGAGCAAACAGGG